CGGUCUUAUGGAUUGUAAACUGCUUUUGCACAGGAAAAAACAACGCUACGUGUAGCGUCUUGACGGUACUGUGAGAAUAAGGAUCGGCUAACUCCGUGCCAGCAGCCGCGGUAAUACGGAAGAUCCAAGCGUUAUCCGGAAUCAUUGGGUUUAAAGGGUCCGUAGGCGGUUUAGUAAGUCAGUGGUGAUAGCCCAUCGCUCAACUGUGGAACGGCCAUUGAUACUGCUAUACUUGAAUUAUUAAGAAGUAACUA
rnacentral:rRNA from 1 species